GCUGGCUUUGGCAGUACACACUAAAAUUAGAAUAAUACAGAGAAAACUAGCAUGCCCCCCUCAGCAAGGAUGAUAUACAAAUUCACAAAAACAUUCCACAUUUUA
ensembl:snRNA U6 U6 spliceosomal RNA